CUUGGCAGUCAGAGGCGAUGAAAGACGUAGUAACUUGCGAUAAGCCCAGAUUAGGUAGUAACAACCAUUUGAGUCUGGGAUUUCUGAAUGGGGAAACCCACGUGCAUAAGCACGUAUCCUUACCUGAAUACAUAGGGUAAGGAGGCGAACCGGGGGAACUGAAACAUCUAAGUACCCCGAGGAAAAGAAAUCAACCGAGAUUCCGAAAGUAGCGGCGAGCGAAAUUGGACUAGCCCUUAAGCUUUACACGCGUUAGACGAACGGUCUGGAAAGUCCGACGAUACAGGGUGAUAGUCCCGUAGUUGACGACGUGUGUUCAGUGAAAUCGAGUAGGGCGGGACACGUGAUAUCCUGUCUGAAUAUGGGGGGACCAUCCUCCAAGGCUAAAUACUACUGACUGACCGAUAGUGAACCAGUACCGUGAGGGAAAGGCGAAAAGAACCCCUGUGAGGGGAGUGAAAUAGAACCUGAAACCGUGUACGUACAAGCAGUAGGAGCAGGCUUUGUCCUGUGACUGCGUACCUUUUGUAUAAUGGGUCAGCGACUUAUAUUCAGUGGCAAGGUUAACCAUCUAGGGGAGCCGUAGGGAAACCGAGUCUUAACUGGGCGUUCAGUCUCUGGAUAUAGACCCGAAACCAGGUGAUCUAGCCAUGGGCAGGUUGAAGGUUGAGUAACAUCAACUGGAGGACCGAACCGACUAAUGUUGAAAAAUUAGCGGAUGACUUGUGGCUAGGGGUGAAAGGCCAAUCAAACCUGGAGAUAGCUGGUUCUCCCCGAAAGCUAUUUAGGUAGCGCCUCGGACGAAUACUACUGGGGGUAGAGCACUGUUAAGGCUAGGGGGUCAUCCCGACUUACCAACCCUUUGCAAACUCCGAAUACCAGUAAGUACUAUCCGGGAGACACACGGCGGGUGCUAACGUCCGUCGUGGAGAGGGAAACAACCCAGACCGCCAGCUAAGGUCCCAAAUUACUACUAAGUGGGAAACGAUGUGGGAAGGCUCAGACAGCCAGGAUGUUGGCUUAGAAGCAGCCAUCAUUUAAAGAAAGCGUAAUAGCUCACUGGUCGAGUCGGCCUGCGCGGAAGAUGUAACGGGGCUAAGUAGUAAACCGAAGCUGCGGCAAUGUGCUUUUGCACAUUGGGUAGGGGAGCGUUCUGUAAGCGGUUGAAGGUGUGUGGUAACGCAUGCUGGACGUAUCAGAAGUGCGAAUGCUGACAUGAGUAACGAUAAAGGGGGUGAAAAACCUCCUCGCCGGAAGACCAAGGGUUCCUGUCCAACGUUAAUCGGGGCAGGGUAAGUCGACCCCUAAGGCGAGGCCGAAAGGCGUAGUCGAUGGGAAACGGGUUAAUAUUCCCGUACUUCUUACAAUUGCGAUGGGGGGACGGAGAAGGCUAGGUGGGCCUGGCGACGGUUGUCCAGGUUCAAGUGCGUAGGCUUGAGAGUUAGGUAAAUCCGGCUCUUUUUAAGGCUGAGACACGACGUCGAGCCACUACGGUGGUGAAGUCAUUGAUGCCAUGCUUCCAGGAAAAGCCUCUAAGCUUCAGAUUGUAAGGAAUCGUACCCCAAACCGACACAGGUGGUCGGGUAGAGAAUACCAAGGCGCUUGAGAGAACUCGGGUGAAGGAACUAGGCAAAAUGGUACCGUAACUUCGGGAGAAGGUACGCUCUCGACGGUGAAGUCCCUCGCGGAUGGAGCUAUUGAGAGUCGCAGAUACCAGGUGGCUGCAACUGUUUAUUAAAAACACAGCACUGUGCAAAAUCGUAAGAUGACGUAUACGGUGUGACGCCUGCCCGGUGCCGGAAGGUUAAUUGAUGGGGUUAGACUUCGGUCGAAGCUCUUGAUCGAAGCCCCGGUAAACGGCGGCCGUAACUAUAACGGUCCUAAGGUAGCGAAAUUCCUUGUCGGGUAAGUUCCGACCUGCACGAAUGGCGUAAUGAUGGCCACGCUGUCUCCACCCGAGACUCAGUGAAAUUGAAAUCGCUGUGAAGAUGCAGUGUACCCGCGGCUAGACGGAAAGACCCCGUGAACCUUUACUACAGCUUGGCACUGAACAUUGACCCUACAUGUGUAGGAUAGGUGGGAGGCUUUGAAGCACGUACGCCAGUAUGUGUGGAGCCGUCCUUGAAAUACCACCCUUGUAGUGUUGAUGUUCUAACGUCGACCCCUUAUCGGGGUUGCGGACAGUGCCUGGUGGGUAGUUUGACUGGGGCGGUCUCCUCCCAAAGAGUAACGGAGGAGCACGAAGGUGGGCUAAUCACGGUUGGACAUCGUGAGGUUAGUGCAAUGGCAUAAGCCCGCUUGACUGCGAGAAUGACAAUUCGAGCAGGUGCGAAAGCAGGUCAUAGUGAUCCGGUGGUUCUGAAUGGAAGGGCCAUCGCUCAACGGAUAAAAGGUACUCCGGGGAUAACAGGCUGAUACCGCCCAAGAGUUCAUAUCGACGGCGGUGUUUGGCACCUCGAUGUCGGCUCAUCACAUCCUGGGGCUGAAGUCGGUCCCAAGGGUAUGGCUGUUCGCCAUUUAAAGUGGUACGCGAGCUGGGUUUAGAACGUCGUGAGACAGUUCGGUCCCUAUCUGCCGUGGGCGUUGGAAGAUUGAAGGGGGCUGCUCCUAGUACGAGAGGACCGGAGUGGACGAACCUCUGGUGUUCGGGUUGUGUCGCCAGACGCAUUGCCCGGUAGCUAAGUUCGGAAUCGAUAACCGCUGAAAGCAUCUAAGCGGGAAGCGAGCCCUGAGAUGAGUCUUCCCUGAUACUUUAAGUAUCCUAAAGGGUUGUCGGAGACUACGACGUUGAUAGGUCAGGUGUGUAAGUGCUGUGAGGCAU
rnacentral:rRNA from 1 species